AUGCAAUACAGUUAUGAUUGAGAAUUGUAAAGAUAAAAGCCUGAUAUAUUAAUUUGAUACAUUUUAACAAGAUUUUUCUAAAACAUUACACAUAGUUAAUCAAGUUAACUGAAAAGUUCAGUAAAUGUUCAUCUUGAAAUAUUACUAAUAACAUUAGUGUUGUUACAUUUACUUUAUAAAAUGAUUUCACCUCAAAAAGACACAUGUACCAUUUGUAAAAUUAUACUUUAAGGCAUUUUAAACACUUUAAACACUUGCUAAAACACAAAAUAUUAACUAAUAAUCAGACAAUAGUCAGCAUGUAGUACUUUGUGUAUAACAGCUUUUUCAGCUGUUGAUCAUGUAGAUAAUUUAGAGGUCAUAGAAAUUUGCAUAUCAAGUGAGAUACAGUACACUUUAUAGGGUCAAUUAUAAAAAAAAUUAUAAAACAUUUUGGGUGAACUACCCCUUUAACAGCAUUUAUUAUUAUUUUAUUUUUUUUACUAUUCUCGUUCUGUUGUGGGUACAGCAGCAGAGCUCAAAGCCCCAUGCCGAAGAGUUUGUUAAAGCGUGAAAUUUAGAGAUGCAUGUGAUGCUAGACCAGUCAUGAGGCAAAACAAACAAAGACGUCACGGAAGACAAACAGAGAUUUGAGUGCAUCAGAUGCCUCGUUCUCUUCUCUUGGCUCUGUCAAAACACCUUUCCCGGGAUCUGUGAAACAGACAGGGUCCAUUAGGAGCUCAAGCAUAUAAUCACAUCUCUGUAAUGAGUUAUUAAUUAAACCAGGGGCAUUCAUUGCCCUGCUAACAGCCUCAUAAACAAUUGACUGGAGAUUUGUGAUUUUUGACUCGCUGACACCAUUAAACAAAUCAAUAUUGGGUUUUGCAGCAAGAGCUCUGUGCCCGGCUCUCCCUGGUUUUUGCCAAUCAGCCAUGCUGAAUACUAAUAAGGGAAUUAGUCGCCUCAUAUUCUGCAUGUGUCCCAUCAAACAGAUCCUUAUCAAGAGGGAGCAGAAGACUCAUUUGCAUGGAGGAAGACUGCUUUGUAGGAUGUGUGUUCGCGGCUCGCGCCGCCCGGCGAGGUUGCCAAACUCAUUUCACCUCGUGGACCUCAACUUGACUGUAAGCCAGACAACCCAACGUGAUAAGGCCGCAUUAAACCUUCACUCUCCUAAGGGAGGGUUAUUAUACGGACAGAGAGAGAUGCUGCUCUGCAUGUGAGAACAACAGGUAAUGCUACAUCAUGCUAGCAUCGUGUUCGCAACAUUAAAGGGGGGAUAAAUGCAUGCCAUUACCAUUUAUAUCUACAGACGGGUAGAGAAAGUAAAGACUAUAAAGGGAAAGAAUGAGGAAAAGGGUUUCUUCUGUCCAUACAGCCUUGACA
ensembl:lncRNA